AAGGGGGGCAUGGGCAGGCUACCAUGCAAGUCGAACGGAUCCUUCGGGAUUAGUGGCGGACGGGUGAGUAACACGUGGGCACUUGACCUUUGGUUCGGAACAACUCAGGGAAACUUGAGAGAACAUUGGAUGUGCCCUUCGGGGGAAAGAUUUAUCGCCAUUGGAGCGGCCCGCGUCUGAUUAGCUAGUUGGUGAGGUAAAGGCUCACCAAGGCGACGAUCAGUAGCUGGUCUGAGAGGAUGAUCAGCCACAUUGGGACUGAGACACGGCCCAAACUCCUACAGGAGGCAGCAGUGGGGAAUCUUGCGCAAUGGGCGAAAGCCUGACGCAGCCAUGCCGCGUGAAUGAUGAAGGUCCUAGGAUUGUAAAAUACUUUCACCGGGGACGAUAAUGACGGUACCCGGAGAAGAAGCCCCGGCUAACUUCGUGCCAGCAGCCGCGGUAAUACGAAGGGGGCUAGCGUUGCUCGGAAUUACUGGGCGUAAAGGGAGCGUAGGCGGACUGUUUAGUCAGAGGUGAAAGCCCAGGGCUCAACCUUGGAAUUGCCUUUGAUACUGGCAGUCUUGAGUACGGAAGAGGUAUGUGGAACUCCGAGUGUAGAGGUGAAAUUCGUAGAUAUUCGGAAGAACACCAGUGGCGAAGGCGACAUACUGGUCCGUUACUGACGCUGAGGCUCGAAAGCGUGGGGAGCAAACAGGAUUAAAUACCCUGGUAGUCCACGCUGUAAACGAUGAGUGCUAAUUGUCGGCAGGCAUGCCUGUCGGUGACGCAGCUAACGCAUUAAACCAUUCCGCCUGGGGAGUACGGGCCGCAAGAUUAAAACUCAAAUGAAUUGACC
rnacentral:rRNA from 1 species